AAGCAAACAAAGACAGGAAGUAAAACCACAAGACACACAAGGAGAGCAACACACUACAAAAUAAAACAGGAAAUGACAAAACCUCAAACUAUAACAUAAACAAUAAGAGGAAAGAGAAAGCUGGAAAGGAAUCAAAGAUGAAGCGCCACAGCAGGAGAAAGUAUUCAACCCUGAACUGGUCGCCUCUGAUUUAUUGUAGAAUCGGGCCGGAUUUCCACCAGAUCCAGAGGCACUGACUUCUGCACUUUUAUAAUCUUCACUCUUGUAGUGCAACACACAAAUUGUGUAUUGUGUUUUAACAAAUAAGUAUUAAAAUAAGCUGCUAGCCCAAAUUUACUGUUGAGAAAAAUACAGAUACAACCCUGUUGUUAAUUUGCAUAAAGCGUAGUGAGGGAGCGAUCACCUUAAUAUAAGACAUAGAAAGCGUAGAUAGAGAAAUCUUCGGCCAAAUAAUCACAAACUCACUACGGGGACAUCAUGUAUUUGAAGUUAAACAGAGGUAAGUAAAGAAAUCAAUACGAAGGGAGGGAGAAGAUCAAACGAACAACUUUUUGAUGAGAAGAAGAAGGAGGUGGAGGCCGAAGCAGGUUCCUCAGACAGGUGAGUUUUCUUUGUCUUUGUCUCCUCAGAUUUCAAUUCUCAAUGCGUGCGUUUUUUCUUCUGUUGCUAACUACAUUAUACUCUCAUGCUCUUUUAGUGUGAUGCGGCGCAGGAAAGGUAUUUGAAGUAAAACAGAGAAGGAAGAGACAAAUUCACCGUUUUCUUCAUGGAGAGAAAGACCGGCGGAGAGCCUCUCUUCCUCCCCGCUAAAGUCGACUGCUGCUUUCCUUUGCUGCCCCUCGAAGGAACAGUUUCGCCAUCGGACCUGCCGACAGUGUGGACCCGGCUUUGUCAGCAUCCGAACCUGAGAGAAACUCCACCGGACAAAUUCUGAACGAACUGACGCAUCAAUCGCUAGCCAAGAGCGAUUUCAAGUUGGUCAGAGCUGUUCUGAUACACGUGGACCUUCCAGUUGUCCCUGUCCCUCCACUCCACUGUGACGUCCUCAGGCAGGUCAGCUGUGGUUUUGCAGGGCAGCAGGACAGACUCCACCCCUGAAUCCACC